rnacentral:rRNA from 1 species
UAUGAAGGUCCCAAGCGUUGUUCGGAAUCACUGGGCGUAAAGGGAGCGUAGGCGGCGCGGUAAGUCGGAUGUGAAAUCCCGGGGCUCAACCCCGGAACUGCAUCUGAUACUGCCGUGCUAGAGUAAUGGAGGGGUAGCUGGAAUUCUCGGUGUAGCAGUGAAAUGCGUAGAUAUCGAGAGGAACACUCGUGGCGAAAGCGAGCUACUGGACAUUUACUGACGCUGAGGCUCGAAGGCUAGGGGAGCAAAAGGG